rnacentral:rRNA from 1 species
AUUGAACGCUGGCGGCAUGCCUUACACAUGCAAGUCGAACGGCAGCACGGGGGCAACCCUGGUGGCGAGUGGCGAACGGGUGAGUAAUGCAUCGGAACGUGCCCAGUAGUGGGGGAUAACUAGUCGAAAGAUUAGCUAAUACCGCAUACGACCUAUGGGUGAAAGCGGGGGAUUCGCAAGAACCUCGCGCUAUCGGAGCGGCCGAUGUCUGAUUAGCUAGNGGCGGGGUAAAGCCCACCAAGGCUUCGAUCAGUAGCUGGUCUGAGAGGACGACCAGCCACACUGGGACUGAGACACGGCCCAGACUCCUACGGGAGGCAGCAGUGGGGAAUUUUGGACAAUGGGCGCAAGCCUGAUCCAGCCAUGCCGCGUGCGGGAAGAAGGCCU